rnacentral:rRNA from 1 species
GCAAGUAGAACGCUGAAGAGAGGAGCUUGCUCUUCUUGGAUGAGUUGCGAACGGGUGAGUAACGCGUAGGUAACCUGCCUUGUAGCGGGGGAUAACUAUUGGAAACGAUAGCUAAUACCGCAUAACAAUGGAUGACACAUGUCAUUUAUUUGAAAGGGGCAAUUGCUCCACUACAAGAUGGACCUGCGUUGUAUUAGCUAGUAGGUGAGGUAACGGCUCACCUAGGCGACGAUACAUAGCCGACCUGAGAGGGUGAUCGGCCACACUGGGACUGAGACACGGCCCAGACUCCUACGGGAGGCAGCAGUAGGGAAUCUUCGGCAAUGGGGGCAACCCUGACCGAGCAACGCCGCGUGAGUGAAGAAGGUUUUCGGAUCGUAAAGCUCUGUUGUAAGUCAAGAACGAGUGUGAGAGUGGAAAGUUCACACUGUGACGGUAGCUUACCAGAAAGGGACGGCUAACUACGUGCCAGCAGCCGCGGUAAUACGUAGGUCCCGAGCGUUGUCCGGAUUUAUUGGGCGUAAAGCGAGCGCAGGCGGUUUGAUAAGUCUGAAGUUAAAGGCUGUGGCUCAACCAUAGUUCGCUUUGGAAACUGUCAUACUUGAGUGCCGGAGGGGUAAGCGGAAUUCCUAGUGUAGCGGUGAAAUGCGUAGAUAUUAGGAGGAACACCAGUGGCGAAGGCGGCUUACUGGACGGUAACUGACGUUGAGGCUCGAAAGCGUGGG